ACGGAGGAUGCAAGUGUUAUCCGGAAUCACUGGGCGUAAAGCGUCUGUAGGUGGUUUAAAAAGUCCACUGUUAAAGAUUGAAGCUUAACUUCAAAAAUGCCGUGGAAACUUUUAAACUUGAGUAUGAUAGGGGUAGAGGGAAUUUCCAGUGGAGCGGUGAAAUGCGUAGAUAUUGGAAAGACCACCGAUGGCGAAGGCACUCUACUGGGCCAUUACUGACACUGAGAGACGAAAGCUAGGGGAGCAAAUGGGA
rnacentral:rRNA from 1 species